rnacentral:rRNA from 1 species
CCUACGGGGGGCUGCAGUGGGGAAUAUUGGACAAUGGGCGGAAGCCUGAUCCAGCAACGCCGCGUGAGGGAUGACGGCCUUCGGGUUGUAAACCUCUUUCAGCAGGGACGAAGCGCAAGUGACGGUACCUGCAGAAGAAGCACCGGCCAACUACGUGCCAGCAGCCGCGGUAAUACGUAGGGUGCGAGCGUUGUCCGGAAUUAUUGGGCGUAAAGGGCUCGUAGGCGGUUUGUCGCGUCGGGAGUGAAAACGCCGUGCUUAACACGGCGCUUGCU